rnacentral:lncRNA from 1 species
AUGAUACGUCCUGGAGCUCAGGAAGGAGUUGUAGAACAGACUAUCACUAUAAAACACAUGAUAUGUCCUGGAGCUCAGGAAGGAGUUGUAGAACAGACUAUCACUAUAAAACACAUGAUAUGUCCUGGAGCUCAGGAAGGAGUUGUAGAACAGACUAUCACUAUAAAACACAUGAUAUGUCCUGGAGCUCAGGAAGGAGUUGUAGAACAGACUAUCACUAUAAAACACAUGAUAUGUCCUGGAGCUCAGGAAGGAGUUGUAGUCAGACAGACUAUCACUAUAAAACACAUGAUAUGUCCUGGAGCUCAGGAAGGAGUUGUAGAACAGACUAUCACUAUAAAACACAUGAUAUGUCCUGGAGCUCAGGAAGGAGUUGUAGAACAGACUAUCACUAUAAAACACAUGAUAUGUCCUGGAGCUCAGGAAGGAGUUGUAGAACAGACUAUCACUAUAAAACACAUGAUAUGUCCUGGAGCUCAGGAAGGAGUUGUAGAACAGACUAUCACUAUUAAACACAUGAUAUGUCCUGGAGCUCAGGAAGGAGUUGUAGUCAGACAGACUAUCACUAUAAAACACAUGAUAUGUCCUGGAGCUCAGGAAGGAGUUGUAGUCAGACAGACUAUCACUAUAAAACACAUGAUACGUCCUGGAGCUCAGGAAGGAGUUGUAGUCAGACAGACUAUCACUAUAAAACACAUGAUAUGUCCUGGAGCUCAGGAAGGAGUUGUAGUCAGACAGACUAUCACUAUAAAACACAUGAUAUGUCCUGGAGCUCAGGAAGGAGUUGUAGUCAGACAGACUAUCACUAUAAAACACAUGAUAUGUCCUGGAGCUCAGGAAGGAGUUGUAGAACAGACUAUCACUAUAAAACACAUGAUAUGUCCUGGAGCUCAGGAAGGAGUUGUAGAACAGACUAUCACUAUUAAACACAUGAUAUGUCCUGGAGCUCAGGAAGGAGUUGUAGAACAGACUUUCACUAUAAAACACAUGAUACGUCCUGGAGCUCAGGAAGGAGUUGUAGAACAGACAGACUAUCACUAUUAA